rnacentral:lncRNA from 1 species
GACUCAACACCCCUAUUCUCUUCUGUACAUGAAGAUAGGUCGUCCCCAGCACUGCUUGGUUCCUAGGGUCAUGGUGAAGACCAGUGAGUUUGUCUGCAUGUGGGAAAAUUAUUUUCUAUUGUGUGUUCCCGUACCUGUGCAUCUGUGACAAGUUUACAGUCAUUCCUAGGGAUAUCUGAAUACUGAACUCAACAGGUUACUACUAAUUGGGUCAGGGGCUUCUUAUCUCCUUGCUUCGACUCUCUUUCAUUCAAGCUGCUCUAUAGCAUCUGGCUCUAGGUGGACUCUGACUGUCCCUCACCGAGAUGAGAUGCUUAGGUUCUCUUUGCCCAGAGCCACUCAGUGAACACCUUCCUUCUGCCUGCACAUCUUUACUUUGAGUGCCACAGAAUGAGGCACAUCAGACAACAGACUGUCAUUCUACAGCAUGCCGGUUGAAAGUGGGAACAUCGUUUCUGGGGGCCUCUUGGACAAGGACGAUUUUCCACAACUUGCACCUUACAAGUUGGUCAGCCUGAACUUGAACUCCGAUCUCUUGGACCCACGCACCAUUGGUUUCCAGUGACUUCAAAAUCGUUAACUGUGAGGCGCUGUAAUGCUGACUGGUCACGGUGUGCAAGAACAGGUUUCUAGAGAAAUCCCAGAGAAAGAAAACCAGAAGACACAAAGCUGAGUAUACAACCCAGGAAAACAAUGAGAAUUACCCACAAAACAAUGGGAGCUGAGGGCUAAGAUCAGUGCAGGUCCGGAGAUGGGCAUGACUCGCCCUGCGCUUUCAGCCUGCAUCUUCAGUGACUGUAAGCCAUGGGCUCCUCCCACAAACCCAGGGGCCCAGAGCAUGCUGGGAAAAAAACGC